ACACUCCUGCGGGAGGCAGCAGUGGGGAAUAUUGGACAAUGGGCGCAAGCCUGAUCCAGCCAUGCCGCGUGAGUGAUGAAGGCCCUAGGGUUGUAAAGCUCUUUCACCGGUGAAGAUAAUGACGGUAACCGGAGAAGAAGCACCGGCUAACUUCGUGCCAGCAGCCGCGGUAAUACGAAGGGGGCUAGCGUUGUUCGGAUUUACUGGGCGUAAAGCGCACGUAGGCGGACUAUUAAGUCAGGGGUGAAAUCCCGGGGCUCAACCCCGGAACUGCCUUUGAUACUGGUAGUCUUGAGUUCGAGAGAGGUGAGUGGAAUUCCGAGUGUAGAGGUGAAAUUCGUAGAUAUUCGGAGGAACACCAGUGGCGAAGGCGGCUCACUGGCUCGAUACUGACGCUGAGGUGCGAAAGCGUGGGGAGCAAACAGGAUUAGAAACCCUGGUAGUCCC
rnacentral:rRNA from 1 species